UUGAAUCAUGGGGACCAGUUUCCCCCAUGCUGUUCUCGUGAUACUGAGUGAAUUCUCAUUGCAGCUGAUGGUUUUUUGUUUGGUAGUUCCUCCUGCAUUCAUUUCUCUUCCUGCUGCCUUGUGAAGAAGGUGCCUUGCUUCCCCUUCACCUUCUACGGUGAUUGCAAGUUGCCUGAGGAUUCCCCAGCCAUGUGAAACUUUCACAGAGUUUGAGAGAAACUGUAUUCAAGUUGCUGAAACCAAGAAGCUACACUCACGAGUCUCACCUAAACUCGAAUCUGAUUUAGAUGACAUCAUCCUGGACUUUGAGUUGAUGAAACCUUGGAGGUCUUGGGAGUAAAGCAAGUGUGAUUUGCAUAUGAUGGAUAUGAAUUGUAAUGGCCAGAGCAUGGCUGUGAGAUGAAAACUCCCAUUUUAGGGAACCAAGACUGAAUUCCAUAAUUUACAUGGAUGUUUGGAAGGUGUCUGCAACUUAAUCUGUGUUCGUUUCUGAGAUGUUGGGCAACUCCUUCUUGGAAGAUGUGGUAAUGGUCUCUUCGAAAAGAAAAUAAUCAUCUGAGUUUUGGCCAAAAUAGUUGAUCGGAUUACCUAUGAAAAUGACUCUCACCCAACUACAAGAAUGUUAUGAUGUAGAAACUCUAAAUAUAUGAGUAAUUAACUAUACAACACUCCAUCCCCAUGUGAAAAUCUUUAAUCUUUUAAGAUACUGAAAUUUUGUGUAUGUCUCAUAAUUUUCUGUAUAUGGUCAAUGAGUUUUGCCUUAGCCAUAAGUGGUCUGUCUGAAAUCUUCUCUAUUAUUUGUGCAUUUUCUUCCUGAUGUACCAAGCCUAGUCUGUUUGUUUUUUCCUAAGAGAAAAGCAGAUGAUUCAACUGUGUAUUUCUCAGUGUUGAUAUUGUGGUUUGAGGUAUUUCAUAAUCUUGAGUAAAAUCUUGUCAAUUUUAUGCUAUGCCUUGUGGGAACAUAUUUUUACUUUUAAGUCUCUUUGGCAAGUGGAGCUUCCUUUGUGUUUCCUCACCAAAUGUAUUCCCCAUUGUUUUCUGAUUAAUUCUUUUUCAGAAUGUUUACUCCUUCUUACCUCAAUGUCAUUACUUUUCAGUCUUGGCUUUGGGUAAACCUAGGACAAGAAUUGGAUAUCCAAAGCCAAUUUCAAUAUAAAAACUAUAAUAUCUAUCAAAAUCUAUGUAAAAUCCUGUGUAUAUUUCUCUUCUUUGUUGAACAGGGGCUUAUAAUCAUGUAGGUAAAUACACGUGGUUUUGAUUUCA
rnacentral:lncRNA from 1 species